UCCCGUGCGUCUUCUCCCGUGCCCUAAAAUGCUGCUUCCGUCGCUCUUCUCCUUGUGCCGUGCUUCCGGCGCACCACCGCUCCUCCUUCGCCCCCUGUUGCUCACACACCGACAGCCCUUUGCUAAUCCCGCAUCCUCUCUAUCGAGCUCGUCUUCUCCAUAUUUUCCAGUGAUCCCUUCCAUUCGUCGCAUCCUCUCUGUUGUGGAUUACUUGGUGUUGAAACCAUUCAUAGGUUUCCUUAAUUAUAAGACAUUAUGGGAGGCCAUAAUCCCGGUAUCGAUGUGGAGAAAUAUGAGUGGUCAAAGACUUAUGUUGCCAUGUUUGUCGAGAUCAUUUAUGAUAAAGUGAAGCACAAUAAGUUACAAACAUCUACCUUUAGUAAUGUGGUUUGGGAGGAGAUCAACAAAGAAUUAUAUUGGUGUGACAAUGAACAGCUACGAAGACAAAUUGUGGUGUCGAUAGACUCAAAGGUAAAUGGAAUCGUCUACGCACCAGACAACGACUUUUUGCUGCAUUGCUUGCUCAUACUGGUGUGACAAUGGAUCCAGACACUGGUAAAGUGAAUGCUCCAGAGGAAGUGUGGGCAGAAUUUUAUAUGAAAAAUAAAAGGGAGUACAAGUCAAUACGAAAGGAAGGUUGUGAUCAUUUUCACAUUCUUUGUGAAGUUUUUGGUGGGACAACAAUAAUAGGUGAUAUGCAUAGGGCUUCUACUCAAUUACCUCCCACAUCUGAUGAAGAGAGAGAGCUUGAAGAAGCAUUCAUUAAUAGAGGUGUUAACUCAUAUGUUGAAGUCAUUGAUGAUGAGAAUGAGGAUGUCGGAGGGGAACCUAAUAAUUGGCGGCAGCGUGUUGCAGAAUCAUCCAAUAGUCGUCGACGUAAAGAUCCUAAACAUUCAAGAAUUGAAAAGUAUGAGGCUUAUAUGGACAAGUGGAGUAAUACCAUGGAACAGCUGAGUGGAGAAUCUAUUUCUAGACAAAAAAUACUUGGAGUUUAGGGCUGCUAAGUUAGAACGUGAACAAGAUAUAUCCUGCUCUUCUGGAACUAGCAUGUUCAAUGAUCCAUACUCUAUAGAGAUGUGCAUGCAGAUUUUAAAUGGGAUGGAAUCAUUAUCUAUCCAAGUAUACACAAAAGCUACCGAAGCUUUCCUUAAACCUGGUCUGCGUGAAAUUUUCAUGAAAAUUCCAUCAAAUAGGAGAGCUGAAUGGUUGGAUUGCCUCAAUCUUGAGCACGUGUAGGAUCAUAUGUUGCCAAGUUGAUGGGGAGUGCUUUUAUUACCUAGCCGAAGACUACUUAAUGUUAAUGGAGUUUGUUUGAUUUUGUGGCUUGAAUAUUGAAGACUUGUUUGAUAUUUUGGAAUUUAAUGUUGAAGCCUAUGUUGAUCUUUUCAAUAUGAAUUAUUUAUUCGGUGUUUAUGUGAUGAAUAUAUUGAUAAUUUGAUACAUGUGUGUUGAUUUUAAUAUUGGUUUGAUGCAGAUCAUGUCAAGCUCUGAUGAUGAAUAUGAUGAAUUAGGUCCAGAUAUUAAUUUGCUGAUAGUUUUGGGUAUUGCAAAUGAUUUUUUUUCAUGACAUGAUGACUGAAUAUUUUAGAUACAUUGAUGGAAUGUCGUGCCGAACUUCAUCUCUUAAUGGGAGGAUGUAUAUACAAGAAAUACUUGAUGGGCACCCCCAAGUUUGCUUUGACAAUUUUCGUAUGUCAAAACAUGUGUUUAUGAAUUUUUGUAAUACAUUAAAAGAGAUGAAUCUAUUGCAAGAUGGAAAGAAAGUUACAGUUGAAGAAGGUGUCGCUAUGUUCUUACUAAUUGUCGGGCACAACACACGACAUCGGAUAUGUGCAGAUCGAUUUCAACAUUCAUUCUACACCAGUAGCAAGUGGUUUAAACGAGUUCUACGAGCUGUUUGUACCUUGGGCACAUAUAUUAUUUGACCAUAUGAACACAAUGGCGUCCAUCCUCACAUAUUGAACAAUCCAAAGUGGUUUUCAUAUUUUAAGAAUUGUCUUGGUGCUAUCGAUGGGACUCACGUGUUGGCAUGGGCACCAUCAUCAAUUCAGACAUCUUUUCGUGGUAGAAAGGUUAUUGUUACACAAAAUGUGAUGCUUGCAUGUGAUUUCGAUAUGCUUUUCACAUUUGUGUAUACUGGUUGGGAGGGGACAGCAAAUGAUUCCAGGGUGUUCAUAGACGCAUUGACAAGGCAUGAAAAUAAUUUUCCUAAACCUUACGGUGGUAAAUAACAUAUAAAACUCUCUAUAUAUAUUCAUUUAUGUUGAUAUUUUACAUCAUUAAUAUGGAAACAAUAUAUGCAGAUCAAUUUUAUCUUGUUGAUUCUGGUUAUCCAAACAUGCCGGGGUUUCUCGCUCUGUAUCGAGGUCGACGCUAUCACUUGCGAGAUUAUUGGGGGCAAGGUAGACCAAGGGGGAAGGAAGAGUUAUUUAAUUAUAGGCACAGUACAUGUCGUAAUAUUAUAGAGCGGUGCAUUGGGGUGCUCAAAGCAAGGUUCUGAAAUUUAAAAGAUAUGCCAAACUAUCCAAUUACUAGGCAAAGAUUAAUUCCAGUUGCAUGUUGUGCGGUGCAUAAUUUCAUACGUCGACAUCAUGCAAUGGAUAAUUUGUUUAUGGAAUACUCUUCUGAUGAUAUGCUUAUGUCUGGAGUCGAAGGUGAUUUUAAUGAUCAAGAGCCGAUUCCAAUUGAUUCAAGUCAAACAGCUCAGAUGGGAAGCAUACGUGAUGAAAUUACAAGCAAUAUGUGGAAUGAUUAUAUGGUGCACUCCCCAAGUACCCAACCUUAGUUUUCCCUUGAAACAUCAGUCUCUUGCUACAGCCUCGAAAGAAUGAAUAGAAGCUUCAUGGAGUAAAUUCUAAUUUUGCACUCUUGUAAUUGAGCACCUAAAUUGUGAGUAAAUUCUUCUUCAAUGCUAUGCAUUUGUUUAGUGUUGUUCUGCAAAAAUUCUUUGAUGGUUGUCAAAUUCUUUAGUUGUUUUAAGUUGGCCUUCCGAUUUCCCUUUGUCAGAUUUAGUGUUAGAAAUUUGAUCUGUGUAAAUAGAACGACUACUUAUGAAGCUGAUGGCCAUACAUUCUAAUCAACCUUUUUUGGCAGAACAUGAUUUUACCAUCUUUUGCUUCUGUUCAACAAACAUCUAUCACAAACAUUUUAUUUAUUGUAUGCCAAAUGGCUUCAACCUAAGCAAGGUCAAAUGCAAGCCUUUUUUUCUUGUUCUUUUUUUGCCCUUUGUCAAAAUGACUAACCAUUCAUUUUAUGCUUUGGCCAUUUGGGCUAACAGGUAACUUUUGAUGUCAAA